rnacentral:rRNA from 1 species
CCUACGGGGGGCAGCAGUGGGGAAUAUUGCGCAAUGGGCGAAAGCCUGACGCAGCGACGCCGCGUGAGGGAUGAAGGUAUUCGGAUCGUAAACCUCUGUCAGCAGGGAAGAACGGUCACUGUGCUAAUCAGCAGUGAAUUGACGGUACCUGCAAAGGAAGCACCGGCUAACUCCGUGCCAGCAGCUGCGGUAAUACGGAGGGUGCGAGCGUUAAUCGGAAUUACUGGGCGUAAAGCGCUCGUAGGCGGUAUGUCAAGUCAAGGGGGAAAUCCCCGCGCUCAACGUGGGAACUGCCUUUGAAACUGGCAAACUGGAGUGUGUGAGAGGAUAGUGGAAUUCCAGGUGUAGGAGUGAAAUCCGUAGAUAUCUGGAGGAACAUCAGUGGCGAAGGCGACUAUCUGGCACAUAACUGACGCUGAGGAGCGAAAGCGUGGGUAGCAAACAGGAUUAGAUACCCGAGUAGUC